UUUUUUUUUUCAGAGUUAGCAUUCCUGAAGGUUUCCGUUGUCUAUUUUAUGGUACUUGGGCCACAACUUGGACACACACCAAAAUUGGUAGUGUUCUCUAAGUGACUAAUCACUUUGGUGGAAUGGCGAGGCCAGCAGCAAGUAGCACACCAUUUUAUUUACAAGUUGAGACAACAGUGUGCACGAAACAGUAAAUUUAGACGUGUUAUAUUUUCAUGCAUAUAAGCCGCCCCUGCAUACAACCCAUCAGUUAAAGCAAAGUACAUGUGUAAGUUGCGCAGAUAGUCCUGGACAAUGAUGUUCAACUCUGUGACCUACAGUACACAACGAGGUAAAGAGAUCAUAAGGGUAGCUUGUUGGGAGAUUUCAUACAUGGUUUUUUAGCGCGGGAUUGCUAGCAAACACAAACGAGAAAUUCAUAGCACGGCACAGGCAACGUUGAAGGUAGCACAUAAAUACACAUAAGCUAUUUAUAACCUUUACUCAAGCAUAGACAUGGUACAUUUGCCAUCUUGGAUGUUUAUUUAAAUGGCAAGUAUACAAAAAUAAUUGUGGGGAGCACGUAACCAGGAAAAAUGCGCCUCACAAGUUAAUCGGAUGGCAGUGCACUUACACUGUGCAGUACUUUUCAGAGAUGUGCUUUCCAUUAAUUAUUUGGUGCUGUGAUGAAUGAAGGUGAGAACACAAGUUUGCAAGAAAUCAGACCAAUCUGAACUAGUCGCUUCUUAAAGUUUCCUUUUCUUUUUGCAUGCCGUAUGUUAAGCAGUCAUUCUGCCGUAUUUAUUUCCAGGUUAAUUAUCUGGUGUAAAGGAAACUUACUUCCUGGUACUUCACUAAAUGAAAGUUACAGCUCUGGCCAGAGGCAUGCGGACAGCCUACAAGCAUUCACCUUUAAAAUGUGUCCCAAUGCCUUGAGCGUCUAAAGCUGCUAGCUGGGCGCAGUGAUUAGUUAACGGACGUAACUGAGAACUUGCAAGUUUUCGCCUGCUUCUGUCCAUGAGCACACUUUCUUCAUGACUGCCAGAGUUUCCAUGUCUGAUACUCUUUCCGUGGUUAGAGGAAUGCACUUGCAUUGUUAAGCCUUGCCUGGGAACAGAAUGGCCGAGACAUAUCCAAACGAGCAGCAGUAUCGCUGGACAGAAGUGAGAGAGUGCAUUGUGUUGUUAUGUAUGUAGUACUUAAUAUUGAUUGCACAGGUUGACCUAAACGCGUAAAUAGUGCAGUCUUGUAAAUGGUCUGCUGGAACUUAGCCCAUCGUUUAUUGCUGCAUACCGCACAUUGCUUGUUCGUCAAUUUCUGCAUGUGUUCUGUGGCUUCUGGUGUAUCCAUCCAUACCUGGCAAUUGGACUGGCUAGAACCCUGCAUGUGUUGGCACAUAUUUGCACGAAUACCAACUUUUGAUUUUGUUCUUGUAGCUUCCAUCCUGACCCUGAUACUUUAAUAUUUGGAACCACACGGCAAACACAAAAACCAACAUUUGUUUUCUGCUGCUGUGUAAACAAUCUUAAAUGUCUAACCUAUGAAAGAAAAGCAUAUUUUUGACCUUACAUAACAUUUUGUAAGCAGACUUCCCCACAUGCAUUCUUCAACAUAUUUUUUUUUAGGCUGUGGGUGAGGAGAAAAUAUGUUUGACAAAAUUAACAAUUUGCAUGUGUUUGUUUCACAACAUUUAGGUGCCCUUUUGAGCCUGUAACUGUGCUUGCUGUAUACAUCAUCAGGUCACAUUAUAGUCAAAAAGUGCAUCUCUUAAAAUUUUGUUAGGCACUUCAUUAAGUUAGCUCUAGCAUUAUAACUUCCUGUGCAGUUUCACUUUGACGAAGUGCACUCUGUGCAUAGGCUGUUGAUGGUUCGAGUUUUCUUUGAAUAAUUUUUAUCUGGCAUGUUGGAGCAUGCCAAAACAUGCGAACGAUUUGCUUUAUUUGAAACGUCUCUGCUAGGCGCAAGAAAGUAAAACAAAAAAAGCCUUUAAUUUAGCACAUCGUAAUGUUCUGAAGUGUCACACCAAGGAACACAACAGUUCACGCCUCACUAGCUGUUUCUAGAGAAACCACUGUUCUAAAGUUGCAGGGUUGUUUCCUGCGGUUUGUAUUGAGUGAUAGCGUGACAUGCGCAAGCUAAUCGCGAUUGCUCAGAUUGUGCUGUUGAAUUUUCUGCUGGAGAAGGUUGUGGCAAAAAUGACUGCUUUUGCUUCAGGGCUGUCCAAGACAAGUGCUUUGCGCUCAAGGUGAAAUGCUGCCAGCUCGCAGGGUGCUACACUUUGUGAGGAGCCAAUGUUGUUCUACAAUUCUAUUUAAGGGCGAUGAUGGAUGUGCCACCAUGCACUGACAAAUUAAUUUUCAUCAGUUCUCUAAUAAUCCUUGGAUACAUUAGUUCUGAAAGGUGGAUUAGUAGUAUUUUGCAAUAGUAGCACGAUUUUAACAAUUCUAUUGUGACUAACAGUGGCACUUGCUUUCAUUUCCUGCUUGUUGAAAAUGCUAUUAUAAGUAACCAUUUGUCAUUUCUUCUAAUGCAAGACUAAUUUGGACACUGGAACUAUUAUUUUGCAAUACUAUGAAAAUGCGGCUCUUCUGCCGCCUUAAGAACUUUCCUUAGCCCGAGUGUGUGCAGCAGCUGUUUAACGAACGUCACAUUUACAACUGUAACUCGUAAAUACAUCUUGUUUCUUUUAAGUGGUAACGUUUAAUACAAUUCUUGUUAUUCUGCGACAGUUCUUGUCAUGUUUGGAUUGCAAGUAUUGAAGUUGUCCGCAAGCUAUUUUGUGUCAUAUUGAUGAUGGGUAAACCUUUGCAUCAUUGAUUUGCUGGCAAGUGUGAAAGUCUAAUGUGCAUCGGGAGACAAGAGAUUAUUCUACCAAGUGUUGCAUGAGUAGGAGUACCAGGUUAAUACAUUUAUUUUGGUUGAACCGCUGGUUUACUGACACUCAAAUUUUGCACGGAGAGGCUGUUUCAUGGUGCAUGCAGUUCAAUAUCACCAUCAGUUGCAGUACUUUUCUGUUUCAUUCAGAAGUCUGGCUACGGUGAUACAACAAAACGGGUGUUGAUUUCACUUCAAUGGAAAAGGUUGUGCCAUCUGUCAUUGUUAGCACAAAACACAGCCUCCCGUGUCUGGCCAUUACAGUGAAAGGUGGUGCCACUGCUUCGUGGUACUUUUUUUUUUUCUCUCUCCUCGCUUGCUUCUGACACAUUCUGCACAAAACAGGCAAGUACUGUACUAAACUGAAUGCACCAUGAAGUGCUGCUUUUAUGCAAAAUGCGAGAGCAAAUGUGUUAUUAGCAGGAGCAGUCACAUACACCUGACCUUCCUAUUCGUGUAACAGCCUGUACACUAAGCAGGUUCAGGACCUUUGUUCUGGCAGCAUUGCACUUGACCCAAAGUAUGUUAUGGCCCAAAUGCUCAGAGCAAUAAGAGCGAUUCCCUAGCUAGAAUUACCAGGCAAUACGCAGGAACUGCAGCAGCUUUUGGUGCAUGGGACUUGCAGAUAAUAUUAUGACAGGAGAAAGUGUAGCCUCCAAAGCAGCCAUUUUUGCCUUUUCAAUCCUUUCUCCGUGCAGCCUGUCUGCACCAAUCACUCAUCCUGCCUCGAGUUCAAGUUUGUUGAGCCUGAUAAUUCUCCAUCAUGCGCCAGCUGAUGAAGCCAGGCUUUCUUCACAGCUCUCACAUUUGCUAUUCUCCUGCUCUAGUAAUUCCAUGACGCAUAUCCAUGCGUCUUCUGCUAGCAGAGCAUGUGUGAGGACCAUACAACAUGAAAACCACUGGAAAGCGGGGGUUUUCGGGAAGGCUCGGUAUAGAUGUCGCACUAAGCCUUCUUGCAAUUUGCUCGCAUGGUUCUUAGAUUUGAAGAAACAUGGUAGUUGUGACGAUUGUUGCAUGUAUGCUGUCUGUUCGACUGUGCUUUAUAAAUUUCAUUGUUUAAGGAAAACAACGUGUUGACACUGGAAGAGGCAGAAGUGAGGCAAUCACAGUGUGUAGUAUGCUAUUUCAUCUGGCCUAUGUUGCAGGCAGGAUUGCCAGGGAAAAAAAAAAAGAAACGCACAUCUAAGUGAAGAAUGCAUGUUUGCUCACUCUGUGUGCUUGUGGUUCAUUUAGCUGCUGUGCAAUCUGCACACCUUGCAAUAGCUUCAACCUGUGCGCCUCGUUGUGCAUCGAAUUCUACUUUGGCAUCCAUGCUGCUCAUACACAGCUGCCCCAGCCCUAAGCAAGUGUUGCAAUGCUAACCACACUUGCAGGGUUCGUGUCUUCAUCCCCUUUCCAUUUGCAACAGGCGAAAAAAAAAUGCCAGUUUUGUUAUAGCCUUGAUCCUGCUACUGCAAGAGUAAGCAGUUAAACUUGGAACAAGUUCUUGCUUGUUCCACUUUUUUCACUGAUUAUGCACUUUGAAUUCGCUUUGGGGUUUGUGGAGUGCUCCCGCUCUAUAGUGUGUAGAUUCUUACAGAGCUUUCAUGCAAGCUUUUUGUCUUCAAUUAGCCCCCAAUUCCUGAACCUUUGGUGCUUAAAUUACUCAAAUGAGGAUAGCCUUACAUCCUAGAAAAUGUGCAGAUCACAUCUUCAGGUGUUCAACUCUCUGCAUUGCAAAUUAUCUAUCUCUUCCUGUUUGGCCGUGACAGCUACUCAAAGUUAGCGAAAUGCUAAUGAUGAUGUGGCAUUACAUUGCAUGCAUUAGUUAAAAACUUGCUUUUGAGUGGCUUGUGCCAUGUUUUAACAAUAAGCCUAACCUGUAGUGUUUGAUGCAUGAAUUCUUUUAAACUACUCUCAGAAAUUGUAAAACAGUGUUUUUCAAAGCAUGAAGUAUAGCUCCUUGUUAAAGCAGCUAAUGUCAGAAGACAGUGCUAGGUGUUCCAAGAUUCCCUGCUUUGAGAGUGAUAGGCUUAAUACUCUUCCGAUUGAUAAUAAGGAUCGACCGUAAAAAAUUACCACAGCCAGAACUGCAGUUACUUGCUGUGUCCUUGCAAGCACAGUGGCUCAGGCGAGUUGUUAUAACUGUGUUGCGCUUCUGUGUUUCACUUGCACCUCAAUGACUGAAGAUCAUACAGAGCAAGUGUGGUUAGCAUCUUACUGUCCCGAGUGGUUGUAGCUUUGACUUGUACAAGGACAAUCUACUUGGUGAGCCGUCUCUGUGUGUGUGUGUGGUUCUAGUGCAGUUUUCAGCUAUUUAUUGUCAUUGUGGCUGCAUAUAUUUUAAACUUUGGUUUUCGUCUUUCAUGGUUGAGCGCACAGAGUACUCUAUCACUGAAACACUCAAAUGCUGCUGAAUCCAGUCUCCCAUGUGUCAGGAAUGUUCUCUUACCACCUACAAUAUGCUGUGAACAAGCCAAAUGCAAAUGAUAAAGUAUAAAAUAUGUAACAGUUCUUGCAAGCGCUAAUAACUCGAAAGGGUGAGUUUGCACUGUUACGUGCAUAGCCAUCAACAAUGGUGCAGGCCUCAAGCUAGGUGUACAAGCUGCAAUCGCUUAAAAGCCAAAAUAAGAACACAUUUUAGUUGGCCCUAGCUUGUUUCUGCUUUAUUAGUUCACAUGGACUCUGAAGAGACCUUAAAACAAUUUCUGAGUAUAUUUCUAUGCCCAACUCAUACCACUUAUGUUUGGUCCUGCUAACAUUGUCGUUGCUUGUUUCGAAAUAUUGGGAGCAAGAAAAUGGGUUGAUAGCGAAUGCUGUGCUUGGACGUUAAGUCCCUCUUCCCAGUGGCUGCAUUGGCACACCUUGCAGUACUUCCACUGGCUUCAACAGCAUCGUGUAGAGUGCAUCUGUUGUUUUUUCUUUAACUUCUGUGUACAUAUAUACAUAUAUAUAUAUUCUAGAUAUACAUAUGUGUCAUAGCACUUGAGCAUCCUUUCUGACAGUUUAGCGUGAGCUUUUAGACUUACUCAAUGACUGUGGCCAUGCAAUACUUUGUCUCUUAAGCCCGCCCUGACACUUGUCACAAGCGAUUAACGACCUCUGCUCUUUGAGAGCAGGCAGCACGAAAGGUGGGGUGGGUGCAUUGUGAUGACUGGCCAGGGACACUGUGCUUUCAUUGGUUGCAGAUAAGCCACUGCAUGUGUCUUUUGGACAUCAAGUCCCGGCCUUUCUUUGAGAAGAACUCGCUGCUUGUGGUUGUUGUGGUUCAGUGCUCUAUCCUCAGUGGGGCGAUGCAACUCGCAAAAGUUACCGUGACGUCACAUCACCAACGGUGACAAGUGGUGGCUAGUGACCAAGGGGCUUUAUUGGUUCUGCGGACACUGGCAUAUGAAGUGUACUACAACAUGCUGCCAACAGGAGAUAGAAAGCAGACAUGCUCUACUCUUGCUUCAGAUAUGGCCUUCUGGACAGAACACUUUUUUUUCUUUCUUUCAUGUUACCUGUUGCUUGACUGAUUGAAUUGCAGAAAAGUUACCGCAUUGUUGCGAUUUAAUGUUCCAUUUUAUUUGCUUUAAUGUUUUGUGCAUCUGAAGUCACUACUUAUGUAGACCAAUCAAUGUACUGUACAUGUACUGUCAUGGUAGAAAGAAACACAAACUGUAAGGUGCCAGUGUGUGUGGCAGGAUUUAUUUGCUGUCAGUCAGUUUUGGGGCUUGAGCACACUAGCACCUAGUGAUGCCACAUCAAGCAUUUCAGUGUAAUAGCUCUACUACUUGGUUUCUUCCCAUUCGACAUAACAUUACAUUGUGUGAAUUAUACUGAAACAUCUGGAAUGUGUCGUGAGCAUGCAUCGCCACUCCAGAUGCAGAGCAGCAUGGCUUGCAAAUGCUGGGUUGAUGCCAUUGACAUGCUGCUUUCUGCAAGGGCAGCAAGAUUCCUUCAUGCUCCUGUAUAAUCUUGUGUCCAUUGGUCAGAACAAUAAGCAGAGCCUUCCACCUGACUGAAAGCCACAAAUUGUCAUGCAGCGGUCUGUUAGGUAUACGACUCAAGCAAUACCUCAUGGCUUAGCAAGUCUCACAUGACUCCAUGCAGACGGCAACAAGGCAGUCGGUGUUGAUAUACUUGUUGAUGGCACAAGAAACACGGGACAGAUGAAAGGUACACACGCACCGAUGCACACUACUAACAGACGGUUUAGUUAAAGAAAUUGUUAAGGCAGCAGCUGUCCUGUGUGUGUGUGCGUUGCUCUCAUUGAGGUUGUUUUUGUGCACACGCUCACUUGUGCACAAACUAACCCAGCAGCAUGGUCUUAUGAAAGCUAAUGUAAAGGUAGGGUCACGUAAUUGUCAGUAUGCAUAUUCCAGGAUCAUGUGACCAUACCUACUUAAAAACAAAAGGGGGUCUGGGGGUGUGCACCUAUUUGUCCGUUCCUUUUGUCCGUCCCAUGUCUUCUGCACCAUUCAAAAGUAUGCAGCAAUGCCUAUCAGUAGCUAGUGUCCACUGUGCAUGUAUUGUGCUGUCCAGUCUGACAUCAGCUCUUGUCUGCAGGGGUGUGUUGCAUCUGUGAACUUUCAGCCCGUGCAACCAGAGUUGCCAUACUAGGUGGCACAUGCAAGUGGACAAGGUUGCCAGGCUGUGUCUCCAGAGCAAUGCUUUCAUCUGCGUCUCGUACAUCUCUGCCCGGCCAGCCUAGCUCUUCAUUCAGUCCUUGCUGCUAACUUGUGCCUGUGACCUUCGUGUAUUGAAAUUAGUGUAUUGAAACAACCCUGUGUAUAGCGUCUCCACCUAUAUUUGUACAUACUGUGGACUGAUCAACGCCAACUUAGCUGCAUAGCAUUCGUAAAGGGUUGGGGCCUGUUUUUUGUCAUUUCUUGAGUUUGUAUCUGUGCGCAUUCCGACGACACUGGUACAGGGCUGGACAAUUGCAAAGUCUGACGGUACCAGUGCUUUCAACCCUACUGCCAUUUGUGAUGGACCGCUGGGUGUCAGGUGGACUUUUGCCCGUACCAACUCCAAACAUGCAUCUAGGUUCAUGUGCUGUUUUGUGUUGUUUUUCUCCUUUAUAAGCUUGGUGCUCUUUGACAAAAAACGUAGAAACAUAGUUGCCUUAUUUGCAGUAGAGUGACUAAUAUGCAACAUAGUAAAUUGAGGAAGCAAACCCACAUUCUUUUGUUGUGCAUGGGCAAUCUGCCUUGGUUAAUAUUUUCACUUUGUAAUACAUCAGUAGCUACAAAAUUUCAGCACAUUUUCCAAACUGAAGCCUGCAUUUUGUCACAGAAGCAGGAAAAAGUAGCUAACUGAGGAACACACACAGGUAACUGUUGCUUGCAAAAGCAUAUUCAGCACUGAAGUUUGCAAUUACAUACGAUUGCAGCCUCGUCUCUUUAAAGGAAAGGAAUAUGCUGUGUCAUGUCUGCUUUGUAGGCAAAAAUGUUAUUCCCAGUUUACUGAAUCAUUUUACUAAAUGAAGUGCAAAAGCUACCACAAGGUAGUGGUUACCAGUUUCCAUGAAAUCUAAGACAGCUGUGUUGCUUCCUUCCACUCAAAUGUAGCAGGAACGUGCAGAGGAAAUUUAUACAUGUUUCUCAGAAAGCUUCGCAGUUGAGGAAAAAUUCAUCCUGGUCCGGGAUUCAAACCCAGGACCAACGCCUUUCCAGCUCGGUGGCUCUACCAAACUCUCGAAGCACAGGGACACAGAAUAUGGCAAGUCAGUUCUGUGGAAUCCGGCAAGAUGAAGUGGCAUGAAAGGGAAAACUGUCAUUCACCCGAAUGUGUCACGAAGCUACAAAGGAAACCAGUGCUUCGUGCUACAUUCAGGUGUAUGACGAUUUUCUCUUUCAUGACACUUCCACCACCUUACAGGAUUCCACAGAACUCACUUGCAAUACUGAAAACAUUAAAAAAUUAUUCGGCAAAUUUGCACAUUGUAUCUGGUCGCAAUUCAAAAUAAAGCCCAAUUGGGUUGGUCUGUGUAUAGUUUCCAAUGUGUGCAUAUUCCCAGGCUGUGUUUGGCAAGCAGCAACAAGAGCAUUGAUCCAUUGGUGAGGAAGACAUGAACAUGCUCAGCAGUGAACAUUUAGGACCUAACCUAGGGCUGACCACAUUCACAUUGGUUGUUAAGCAGAGUCUCAAUGUAAAAAGACCAGCAAGGCUUACAUUGAGUCCUCAAAAACAUCACACAUGUUCACAAAGGGGAUCAACCAUCCAUCAAGAAAUAAGACUGAAAAUAAACUCCAAAAUUUGCAGGAAGAAGGAACAGCUAUGGAAAUGCUACACAAUUAAGUAAUCAAAUAAUAAUUAAGACAUGAAAAAGCAUUACAACAGAAACCGGAUAACUAGAAAUGUAACAUACUAGAUGCUUUAUUGAACUUGAGUGCAGCACAGCACCAAAUGAUAAUGAUUAUGGUAAACAGGUAAUAAUGUUGCAAAUUUACAGAGAAUUUGAGGAAUGUUUCUUGCUAGUGGGUGAAAUGACUGCCUAUGUCUUCGGCAUUUAUUGCCAGGCACUUGCAUUCAUUGGCUCGAACUAAGGUUGCUACAGGUGAAACUCUACUUGGGAACUUGCGUAAAGCAAGGCACAUAAGGAAAAAGUGUGUUCCCAUGCCAUCUAUCGGCAACCUCUUGUCAGUUGUACAACUUAAUUUCACUGUAAAUAUUUCGCUUUUUGAGAAUCCUCCGAAAGCAGUUAGGUAAUGGAUUGUAGAGCAGAAAAGAAGGGAUAUACGUACUGAAGCAGGCUCCACAUUUAUUAAUUGUCAAGAAGCACGCAAAUUAAAAAAAUCUGUGCCUGGUGGUCCAGUAGGAUGACACCUGUCAACAUUGAGGGAAGAGGUUGGUUUUUUUUUUUUUUUUUUUUGCCUGGGGAACUUUCUUUGUCAAUUAACUUUGUGUUGGGAGGACUAAUUACAAUGGAAUGCUUUGUGUGUUUGUACAGUAGAUAACAUGUGAAACAUAAGACGUCUCUAUACAUAUAUGUAUAUGUAGAGCUUUUUGGUACUAAAUAAAUUAAUUUUUAUAAUGAU
rnacentral:lncRNA from 1 species